UGGACAAUCAAGAGUAAAUUUCUAAAUUCCAUGAGGUAACCACAACUCAAAUAAGUUAGAACACAAAACGUAAAUUUGGAUAUUCUCUCCUCAAUCAUCUUGUGUUAGAAAUUUUGUUCCACCGAAACACAGUUCUCUUCAAUUAGAAAUCACAGAUAACCAUCUCCCAAACUCACAAUGGACUUAUUUACCAAGCAUCUCAGCACAAGGGACUUAGUUACCAAACAAUGCUAAAGCUUUUGAAUGAUAGAAUCCAGCUCCCGUAUAUCUGCUGCUCUAAAGAAGCAAUACUCUCAUUAUGCCAAAAACAUCAAUUGUAACAAGUUUGUAACUUAGGUUACAAUUCUACCAACAUCCUAGUAUCAUACCAAAGAAUCCCUCUUGCAAAACUCAAGUUCAGAUAAAACAUUCGUAUGUUUGAAUAGAAAGAACAAAAACUGUAGCUGCUUUUAAUUUGGAGGAAGACAUGAGAAGACAUCAGAUCAAGACUGCCUCCAAUCGUGAUAAGAAGCUAAAAAAUAUAGGCACCAUGCAAAAGGUAGCUCUGCUGUUUCUUAUAAACCCAACAAGCACCCGUGUCUGACUUAAUGCCAUCUCCAAAAACCCAACAACAAGUACUCUAAAACCCAUCAUUAUCACCACAAGAAAAACAAAACCAAAGAAUCUAUAUAAUAUGUAGCCAAGAGUAUUGAAUCAUGAAACUAUUGAGAAAUAAGUUUCAUGGGUCUUCCUCUGGCAUUUAAUCUGGGCUCCAAGCGGCAGUCAGGUCACCAUUAAAAGUGGCGCCUGCUGUUGACUCGUUAAAAAUGGAGCCUUUCUCGCAAAACAAAAACAUUCGAAAAGGCACAGAUCUAUAAGAAGAAGUUUCAAACGAAAAGAGAUGAUUGAUGCGGUGAGAGAGAUAAAUUUGAGAUUAUAU
rnacentral:lncRNA from 1 species